CCCCUUUUCCUAAAAUACCUGCAGUAGUAACAGAUAUAUUCUAAAAAUUUGAAAAAUUUGGCGGUGGUUUAGUCUUGUCAGAGGAACCUGUCUUUUAAACGAUACACCACGAAAUAUCUUACUUGAGUUCGUGCAGUAUGUAUACCAUCAUUAUUAGGUAAUUUUUAUAGAAUAAAUUACUGAAAAAUGUCCAUAAUGUUGAAUAUAUUAGAUCAAGGUGCAGCUAAUGCUCAAGUUAAGAUGGGUUACAAUAGUAUUUAUACUAUUACGGAUAAGUAAGUGAAACUUUACUUUGAAGGAGGAUUUGAUUGUAAUUUUAGUUUAAUAAGGUAAUUUGAUAUAAGCUCUAAAGCAUGUACACACCGCCCGCCACCACUACACA
rnacentral:rRNA from 1 species